rnacentral:rRNA from 1 species
UACGUAGGGACCAAGCGUUGUUCGGAUUUACUGGGCGUAAAAGGGCGCGUAGGCGGCCUUCUAAGUCGGACGUGAAAUCCCUCGGCUUAACCGAGGAACUGCGUCCGAUACUGAAAGGCUUGAAUCCGGGAGAGGGAUGUGGAAUUCCCAGUGUAGAGGUGAAAAUUCGUAGAUAUUGGGAAGAACACCGAUGGCGAAGGCAGCCAUCUGGACCGACACUGACGCUGAGGCGCGAAAGCGUGGGGAGCAAACAGG